UCGUUUUGGGCUUAAAGAAACGUUCGGGUUUAAUUGGGCCCAUUGGGCCUAAACCCAUUGGGUUUUUAUUCAAGCAUUGGAUGACUUGAAAUAAAUAAAAGCCCAAAAGCCCAAACAACACUAAGGGGGCGGGCCAUAUAGAGUGAAAAGGAGAGAUUGGAAGUCAAGUUGUUGGCUAGGUUUCUUUGUGUUAUAAAAGGAACUUUAUAGUGAAAAAGUUAAUUAGAGUUUUUUGUGUGUUGUUUUUCACAAAAAAAGACCAUCUCUCUCUCUCAAAAACUCACACAAGGCCGGCCACCAUAGGGGUGAUUUAACUAAUCAUCUUCUCACCCUUUUGGUUAUUCCUUCAUCCUUCUCACUACACUAGUGGGUGAGGAUCUUUAGAGGUUUUCAAUUUUGGAAACUUGAAGAGAACCUAGGAGCACUCAUUCUAAACAAAGUGGAGGAGGCAAGGAAGGAGGCUAGGCUCAAGGAGUUUAAGGAGCAAAGGUCUUGGAGGUGGUCCAUCCUUGGUCUAAGAUCUAGAUCAAGAGGUAUAAAACUACUCCUAAACUUUGUUCUUAUAUAUAAAUUUGUUUUUGAUGCAUCUUACAUAAACCUAUGCAUCUUGAAGGGGAUUUGCAUGACUAGAGCUUUGAUAUUAUUUGAUAACAUGCUUCCGUUGCUUUCGUAUAUAAAUCUUGAAUUGUAUAUGCAUGCUAGUCACUAGAAAUCCCACAUGAAUCUCAUAGAAUUUCCCUUCAAGUGGUAUCAGAGCCAAAGGUUUAUGUAAGAUAUGUCAUUUUGGAUUUUAUGCAUAUGGGUUUUAAUUUUAUGUAUGACAUAUUAUUGCUUCAUUCAAAGUAUGUUUAUCUUUUGUUUUUCAAUGGUUGAAAAAUGUAAAUCAAUAGUUGAAAAGAUAUGCAUGCAAAAGUGUUUUGGAUGCAUGAAUGAAGAUUGAGUUUAGAACUAAAAUUUGGGGUUUUUAUUCCAAAUGGGAGGGCACGGUUUUGGGGGUGGUUUUGGGUUGUGUUUGUGUUUUAUUGUAAACCACUCUCACAUCCUUUUAAAGCUAGAAAGAAGAGUUCUUGUCACUUUUGUUUUUGGGUUUGAAAAAUCAUCAAGAAUGUACAAAUAUUGAAAUUGUGUUCAUGGUUUUGUUCUUGGUGUUCAUGGUUUUGGUUUUGGUGAAAAUUGUUUUGUUUUGUGUUCAUACAUUGUUUUGAGGUUUUGGAUGAUGCACAUACUAUCCAUAGCCUUCCCAAAAAUGUAAUUCAAUCCUAGACUUGACUAGGUGAAUUUCCAUCACCCUUUUCUUAAAGUCCUUAAAGCAAAACCAAGUGACAAGCAAAAUUUAAUUUUUUUCUUCAUAAUGUUGAAUUAAUGCGUGUUGUGUAAGAAACCUCCUAUCCCCAUUAAGUGGCCGGCCUCCCUAGUGGAUUUAUCCACUUGUUGGGCUAUUUUGUAAUCUUUGAAAAGUUGAUAUUUACUUUCAAGUAUUUACGGUUUGACCCCUAACUUUUCAUAUUUGCAUAAUAGGCCCCAUCCAUAUAAAAAGUUAAAAUAUUUGAUUUUAAUUUUAUUGGUUGUUUAAACUCAUAAUAUUAUUAUGCUCAUAUGCACUAAAUCUAAUUGUUUAUGUUGCAUUCCAUAUGAUUAUUUAAUGUGAUUAAGUAGUUAGAAAAAUGGAUGACUAUGGACUUAUGCCUUAAACGAUAAUUGAGCUAUGAGAUAAGGCGUUAAACUCAAAUUGUUUGAACCUUGGGAAUGUGUUUUAAUUACUGUUUCAAUUGGACCUUGUCACCUUGGACAUUAAUCUAUCUCUCCCUCUUAGUAUGUGUAAUUUGUAGGAAUUUGUGCAAAUCGGUUUGUAAUUCUUAUUACUUCUUAAUCUCUUUUAGUUAGUUGAUUCCCUCUAGUGCUAGACUAGAGUUUCUUUAACUAUUGGUAAGGAGACAUAACUAAAAGAGGGUUUUGACAUGAGAUUAAAGAUUAAAUGGGUCCAACGCCCUAAUUAGCAAUGAAUGAUUGUCUUUCAUUUCUAAUGGCUCAAUGAAAAUGUUUUAAUUGGAUUGAAAAGCACGUAAUUAAAUUGACACAACCUCCCCGAGUUCUUAUUCAACAAUGUUGGCUCGUUGUUGCAAUAACCCAAUAAGUCCAUGGUCAUCCAAGAGCCUAAGAUAACUAUAAAGUUCAAUUUCAAAGGAAUACAAAAACCGUAGUAGUAGUAGUUACUUCCAAUAUUUGAAAAAAUCAUUUUUGAUAUUGAUUUGUUUUUCUUAAAACAAAUAGUGGGAGUAUCAUACGCUACUAAACUAUAAUGAAUACAAUUAGUAGUUAUAUAUAUCUCCAAUAUUUUGAAAAAUGUUGAUAUUGAUUUGUUUUAUGAAAACAAAUAGUGGGGAUAUCAUAUGCUACUAAUUUCAUUAACUUUGGACUAAUAGUUAUAAUAGGACAAUUUAUUUGAAUAUGAUUAAAUAAAUAAAAAUUGAUGAGACCUUAAAAUCCCUCAACCAACAUACAAUAUUAAGUUGAAAGCGUAAGAGUGCUUUGAACACUUUUUCGUGGCCUUCCACCAUGGUAGGCUCCAAUCGUUUAUGACUUGUACACCGCCUUCACCCUAUCAUGGGGGAGUGCAAAGUGCAUGCUUAUACUCAGGAGGAGUUUAUUUAAAAACAUUUGAUGAGGUGAAGGUAGGCAACGAGUGUGGCCAACAUCGUAUCAUCGUGAGGUCAUACUUGAACCCCUAUCUAAACCGGCAUGGUGGGUCAAAACUUAACUAAGAGAAAAGGUGCCAACAUCGUAUCAUCGUGAGGCAUUCUUCUCUAGAGGCCAAAAAGAUGGGUAAUCACAAGAGGUUGUUGUGAAUGGGUACUUGUACCCUCUCAUUAUUAUUUUUGCUAGGCGACAUCGUAUCAUCGUGAGGUGGGCUUGGUAAUAGUGAGCCUCCCGUAACCCGCUAGGAGCUUUCUUUGAAAUCUCCCGGAUUCCAUCUUGAGGGAUAUGGAAUUUGCCAAAAAUGGUGGGUGGUGUCAUUCGGUUUAAAGACCCGAAUCGUUUGACUUAAUCAACAAUCAAACUAAUUAUUUUAUUGUUUAUGUAUUUAGAUAUGGUUGGGAGCACACUCGCGAAAAUACUAGACAAACAUUGCCUAGAGGGGCACAAUUUCCCAUCAUGGUUUCGUAAUGUCAAGAUUCUCCUAACCUUGGAGAAGAUUGUUUACGUGCUAGACAAGGCUCCACCUCACAUACCUCUUGGCCUCGACGCCACUAAGGAUGAACGUGCUAAGUAUGACAAGCACGUUGAGGAUGAUACACAAGCCAAGUGCUAUCUAUUGGCUUCCAUGAAUGAGGAGCUACAGAGACAGCACGAGGGCAUGGACAGUGCAUCUUCCAUCAUACUCCAUCUUACGGAGUUAUAUGGUGAAGGGACGCACAACCGUCGCUUUAACACUGUCAGUGAACUUGUGAAGACCAAGAUGGUCAAAGGGGCUCCAGUACAUCAACAUGUACUGAAGAUGAUAGGACUCAUUGAAUAAUUGGAGAACCUAGUGACUCCACUUGACGGGGAAUUGGCCCAGGACUUCAUAUUGGCUUUUCUUUCUGAUUCAUUCUCGCAGUUCGUAAUGAACUACAAUAUGAAUAAGAUGGAUAGUACUCUCUCUGAGUUACUAAACAUGUUAGUAACCGCUGAGAAGACUAUGAAGAAAGAGAACGUUGUAGGGACUGCUGCAGUAGCCUACAACAAGCCAUCCUCUUCCAAGGCUAAGCCGCAAGGCAAAGGCAAAGGGAAGGAGAAGAAGUCUCCCACUCCUAAACCGCAAGGAGGAGUGAGGAAAAAGAAGGCAAAGGAGCCCAAGGGGACUUGCCACCACUAUGGAAAGGAGGGGCAUUGGAAGAGGAAUUGCAGGUUAUACCUUGCAACUCUUAAGGACAAGCCACAAGGUAUGGUUUAUGUUCUUAUCUUCAAAUUCUAAUUGUUAGAUCUUCUAAAAUUUAUAUUUGAUAUAAAGGGCUAAUCACUUGUAUAAUUGUAUAUAGGUGGAGGAGCCAAGUAGAAGAGGAACAAGCAAAGAAAAGUGUGGAGAAGGGUUCGGCCACCAUGUUUUUGCUUACUACUUAGGAAGUUUGUUAGGCAUUUAAAGAUAGUCUUUAAACUUUCUUAUUUUGUUAAGAACUUAUUAAGUGGCUUCAUAUGAUGGAAGACCACUAUUAGUGCCUAAAUGUAUGAAGGUAUUUAAUUAGUCUCUAAAUGUAUAGAGCUAAUUCUUUUUGUAUUAAACAUUAUGAAUGUUUGAAUUAUCAUAUUAAUGUAAUGUGAUGAAUGCCUUCUAAUAUAUUAUUUCCUUAAAGUAGUGUUAUGAAUUGAAUAUUGUCUUGUUGUAUCCUAGUAGAGAUACAAGAUUUAUAUAUCACUUUAGUAAUGUGAUAACCAAACUUUAGACUUAUCAAUUAUGGAUAGAUCUCACAUGUUGGACAUAGAAGGAUACAAUGAAUCUUUAGAUUUGGUUCCAAUUGUCUACCUAAGAGUUCUAUAUGAAUUGACAAAAGUCUAGAGAUUCCUUUCUUGAAGAAAAGGAAGAUCACAUUAUAAUGAUAUAAGUGAUAAGAAAAACGUUUCUUAUAUGGUUAUCACUUAAACACAAUAAUCAAGAUCACUCUUGAUUCAAUUAGUAGUUUUGAACAACUAAUUGGGCAUUCUCUGAAUUGUUUUAAAAUGUCAAUUGUGUUAGUGAUUAAACCAAGAAAGAAGUGUCUAAAUCUAUAAAAUGUUUAAAGACUUUAGUCACUUAAUAACGAGACAUUAACUUAGUGAAGAUUGAAACAAACGAGCUUGAAAGGUUUUAAAGCUACUACACAAUGUCCUCUACCCGUAUACUCCACGUUUAUACAUUUUGAAUGUAUGAAGUGAUUUCUCAUUAAAGUCAUGAAAAAUAAUGGGAGGUGUGAAAAUGGAUAUAAACUCAAAUAUUAUUGGUUUAUAGUUGUCUAGAAUAAUAGUACUUGACUAUUAUUAAGAGUUUGUAAUUUUAAUUGUUAAAGGACUCAAGCUCUUUAAACGUUAAAAUUCUAUGUUGUGUAACAUUCUAAAGAAUAGUCUUUGAAUGUUGGUUUCGUCAACCUAACAUAAAAUGGUUAUAUGUUGGGAGUUGUCCAUCAUUCUCUUUUAUGAGAACAAGCUAAAUAACAAAGCCCAUGGACAAAUUUGAUGAAACAAAAGGGAAUAGUUUCAAAAUGAGUCACAACAUAUAGUUUAACAACAAGACAAUCCAAAUUCAACAUCUUAUGUAACUAUAACGCUCUAUGUAGUUUUGAUAAAUAAUUAUAUCAACCACCUAGAAGGAAUGGUUGAGUUUCUAUAUCCUUAGUAGGAGCCAUGCUUCCACUAAAGACUUGGAUAAUUCUUAUAUGACUACAUUAAAGGUCUUAGUAUGACUAAAACUUGUAGUAUGGUGUAUGACACCAUAUAAUUUAAAUGAAUGAGCUUGAUAAAGCAAGUCACACAUUUCAAAUGGAGUUACUUUAGAAGGAAUUUUUUUGUGUAUGUUCGUUUAAAUAACUUGUGUUAGCUAGCGUUGUUGAUAGUCUCAAAAUUGUUGAGACAUCAUCAAUAAGCUAAUGGAUCUUAAUGAUUGUCAAUAGAUCCAAGACAAGUUAGUAGGAGCAAUAUGCAUUCAAAUCAAGAAAAUAUAAUCGUUAAGUUUUUGAAUGAAUGCUAAGUUACAACAAGGCCAGUGGGAGUGAUGUCAUAAUUUGGGCAACAAGAUAUGAAUAAAGUCUAUUUGAUAGACUUGAUAGAACAUAGAUGUUACUCGAAAAUUGACAAAACAUGACACGGUCAAUUUUAAAGUAUAGACUUGAAAUUGGACUUAUUGAUAUAGCAAGGCUAUCUCAAGAAUGUUUAAUAGGGAAAUUAAAUCUCAAAUGUUGAAGAUUUGAGAAAGUAUUUUCUUAUAUGAUAGAAAAUCACUUUCAUAACCCUUAUAACGAUAUGUGUCAUAAAAUCACAAAAGGGACACAUGUAUGGACUUGUGAGAUGAUAUCCAAAGGUGAAAAACCACAUGGGUUGUCACUUUAAGAUAUUACUAUAUCCCAGGAUAAGAACCAAAGCAACUGAUAGAGUAUUAUUGCCUUUAAGAAAGGAACAUCAGAGUGGGACUCUGGAAGCGUGCAUUCACUUAGGUUAUUAACCAAAGUGAAAAUAACCCAUUUUAACAAAUGGAACUUCAUAAUGGAUGAAGUACUAAUCAUAUGAAUGUAUUGAUAGUAUUGUACUACAAUGGUCUCUAGGUUGGAGCAAAGUUUGUAUAAAGUAUACAAAUGAAAUAUAUGACGAUAUAUUGUUUUAGAAACUGCUUCAAAAUGUGUUUUGAAUGGAAGGGGUUCUUUUAGAACCAAUGAUUGAAUUCAAACCAUAAGGUCGUUAGUAGGAUACUAUGACGUAAUGAGGCGAUAGCUCAAGCCAUGGAAUCAAGGUCUCAUCAAAGUAUUCGAACACAAGAAAGAGACAUCAUCAAAUGUUUUAGAAACAUUUGAUAAGUAAAUCCUUUUUUUUUAAUAAAAAGAUUAAUACAUAACCAAGUUAACCUACAAGCAUAAGCUCUCUCAACUAGCAUGUAUAAGAUACACUAGUGAUUGACUUUAGUGCAAGUGGGAGAUUGUUGGAAAUAUGCCCUGAAAGUCAAUCUUUGGAAGAAACCUUUCAGGACAAUAAAUGGAUGUAUAGAUGACUCUUAUACAUCAAAUGGCAAGGAUACUAUUUAGGACUAUCUAUAUAAACGAUAUAUGUCCUAAAUGAUGAAUCCAUGGACAAUGGAUCGAUUGAAGAAGUAAUCUAAUGAUGUUAGACUACAGAGACCUUCUUCACAUAACCAUCAUGUCCAAAAGGUUCCUGGUCAUGGGAUUGUCGGAGGGAUAAUGACAAUGCAUAGACCGGUACAUACUAUGUCCGCUUCAAUUAGAAGGAUGGAAAGUCUCAUCCCAUUCGUGUAGUGACACUAAGACAAGUAUGUAGGUGCUCAUUAAGGGAAUGAGUUCACUGAACACAAUCGAACGAGAGUACUUGCAUGGAGGUCUACUCACAUGUCAAGCAAGUAACUUUAAUAGUUGGAAUAGUGUAAGUAGUCCUUUGACCUGAGGCAUCAUCGUUGUCUUGUGGUUAAGUACUUGAUCUUUGAUCAUGUCAAAGUCACUCCAUCCGCGGGUGUCCACGGCAUAGUCGGGGUUAAGCCACUUAGUCAUGAAGGCAAGUGAAUGUUCAACAAGGAAUCUCUAAUCCUCGUUAUGAGAGGAUGAAUACUCUAAGAUAUGAUUCGGGAAUCUUCGGCCAAAGUAUCGAGCGUAAUAAGGGAAAGCGUUCCUAUAUGACUCAAUUGAAUCAUAUAACAUGGAAUAAUCACAUUAGGGGUUUGACAUAUUAUAUCCAUACCCUAGUGAUGUGAUUGAGAGUAUUGUUUUAGAGAAGGAUCGAAUUGCAUUGUAAUUCCAACUGAAUAGGUUCUCCGAACAACUUCUACAUUAGCUUGGGUAGCCAUGAUAUAUGGUUAAAUGUCACUCAUGGCUUGUGAGUUCUUCUAGAUGAUUAAAUGUAGUCAUCAAAGAAGAAGCUGAAUUAAAAGUAAGUUUUAAUUCACUAAGUGAUUGGAUUAAAUAUAAUCAAUUGGAUUGGUGCCAAUCACCUCACUGCCUUGCUAAUUAGAACCUAAAACGAUUGUUCACCAAUACACUCUUGUAGUGAGUAACUAAUGGAUGAUGGAAAUAAUUAAUUGGAUUAAUUAAGUGUUGUGAUUAAUUAGAAAGUCUAAAGAAAUCAUAAAAGCGAUAUAAGAUCGUUUUGGGCUUAAAGAAACGUUCGGGUUUAAUUGGGCCCAUUGGGCCUAAACCCAUUGGGUUUUUAUUCAAGCAUUGGAUGACUUGAAAUAAAUAAAAGCCCAAAAGCCCAAACAACACUAAGGGGGCGGGCCAUAUAGAGUGAAAAGGAGAGAUUGGAAGUCAAGUUGUUGGCUAGGUUUCUUUGUGUUAUAAAAGGAACUUUAUAGUGAAAAAGUUAAUUAGAGUUUUUUGUUGUUUUUCACAAAAGAAGAAACCAUCUUUCUCUCUCAAAAACUCACACAAGGCCGGCCACCAUAGGGGUGAUUUAACUAAUCAUCUUCUCACCCUUUUGGUUAUUCCUUCAUCCUUCUCACUACACUAGUGGGUGAGGAUCUUUAGAGGUUUUCAAUUUUGGAAACUUGAAGAGAACCUAGGAGCACUCAUUCUAAACAAAGUGGAGGAGGCAAGGAAGGAGGCUAGGCUCAAGGAGUUCAAGGAGCAAAGGUCUUGGAGGUGGUCCAUCCUUGUCUAAGAUCUAGAUCAAGAGGUAUAAAACUACUCCUAAACUUUGUUCUUAUAUAUAAAUUUGUUUUUGAUGCAUCUUACAUAAACCUAUGCAUCUUGAAGGGGAUUUGCAUGACUAGAGCUUUGAUAUUAUUUGAUAACAUGCUUCCGUUGCUUUCGUAUAUAAAUCUUGAAUUGUAUAUGCAUGCUAGUCACUAGAAAUCCCACAUGAAUCUCAUAGAAUUUCCCUUCAAAUAUGGUUUGUUAAAGAGCGUGGUUCAAAGUCCUAUAAGAGUUAGGAUUGGUUGAAACCUAAUCAGAUUGGGAUGAGAAGUUCUAAUCCGAGUAUAUCUCUAGUUCGGCAAUGAGGGUGGUUCGCUACUAUAAAUAGAGAAAGAAGUGCAUCAUUCAAGACCCCUUCAAAUCAACACACAAAUUGCCAUGUGCAAAGCUUCUCAACAACCUUUGAGAUUUCAUCAUCUUCCUCUUUCUUCCCGUGAACACAUCUUCAGUUUAGAUAAACAGCACUAUGAAGGCAACCGACGACAUCUUCAGUUUGGAUAGACAGCACUAGAGUCAUAGAAUCAGCCGACCGAAAAGCACCUUCAAUUUAGAUAGACAACACUGCUUCAACACCUUCAGUUUGGAUAGACAGCACUGCUUCAAGGUCGACUGGGUAUUUAUCCAAGUCUCGAUCGACAAGGAUUUUCGAGUCCUUGUUGGUAGACGUCAUCUCAUCAGCCUUCUCGGCAAAGUGAGACGUUACAGAUUACUAGGCUCGACACAUUGAACAUUGAGUUUUGCUUUAUGAUUGGAUAUUCAUAGGUAUAUUUUAGAGUAUUUGUGUCCAUAUAGUCUGAUACCGGUUCGACGUACUUAUACUCUCAUAAAUAUAAUUACUGAGACCGAGACCAGUGCCGACGAUUUGUGAACUUCGUAGACCUAGCAACCUUAUCUUCAGGCUCUAAAACCCAAAGGCUGAGACGUGUUCCUUCCUCAGCCGCAAUCGCAAGAUAAAUAAGUCAGCAGCGUGCCUAACACACAUCAAAAUAUUUUACUCCCCGGCCAAGCUCGGCCGAUGAGUUGGCACACCCCGCACACAACCGAAUGAUGUAGUUAGCUUAUUAGUUACUCGGCCUGCACGCCACGUAGGUUUGGUAGUUUUUAGGGUCAACAGUAACAUUUCAUGGUUGGUUCUUAUAAUUGAACUCAUCAUUAUACAACAUCAUCUCCAAUAUUAGAAAGCCAAAACCACAGAACCACACUUUGGUGUCUCGGGUUUCACCAAAAGUAAUUAGACUGGAAAGCCCUUAAAACAAAAAAAAUUCUAAAGGAUAAAUUACAUUUUACCCCCUCAGGUUUGGGGUUGAUUGCAACCUCAUAUAAUAUCUUUAAAACAUUUCAAUUUCAUACGUUUACUUAUCAUUUUAUUUCAAUUUCAUACAUCCGUUAGAAAAUCCAUUAAGUGAUAACGUGGCAAAUAUGGGAUCCACAUUUGUGCUGAUGUGGCUACCAAAUUUGUCCCACGUGGCAAAAAAGUAAUUUUUUAUGCAUUUAAAAGAUAAUAAUUUACCCUAUUUAAAUUUUAAAAAAUAAAAAUAAAAAAUAAAAAAUAAACCAUAAAACCCAUCAUCCCCGACACCUUCUCCUUCUCCUCCACUCUCUUCACCUCUCCCCAAAGACCCAAUCUUCCCUUUUCACCUUCCCAACCCACAUUUUCCUUCUCCUUCACUCUCUUCACCUCCCCUCCCAUCAUCAUUGUCAUCCUCACAGCCACACUCAUGGCCUCAAUCUGCCUCUGUCUCAUCCUCCGCCACCUCAAUCGCCGAUACAUCCAUUGCCUUGCGCCCUCCCCCGUCG
rnacentral:lncRNA from 1 species